rnacentral:rRNA from 1 species
CCUACGGGGGGCAGCAGUGGGGAAUAUUGGGCAAUGGGCGCAAGCCUGACCCAGCAACGCCGCGUGAAGGAAGAAGGCUUUCGGGUUGUAAACUUCUUUUCUGAGGGACGAAGAAAGUGACGGUACCUCAGGAAUAAGCCACGGCUAACUACGUGCCAGCAGCCGCGGUAAUACGUAGGUGGCAAGCGUUAUCCGGAUUUAUUGGGUGUAAAGGUCGUGUAGGCGGGAAAGCAAGUCAGAUGUAAAAACUCAGGGCUCAACCCUGAGACUGCAUUUGAAACUGUUUUUCUUGAGUGCUGGAGAGGCAAUGGGAAUUCAGGGGGUAGCGGGGAAAUGCGUAGAUAUACGGAGGAACACUAGUGGCGAAGGCGGAUUGCUGGACAGUAACUGACGCUGAGGCGCGAAAGCGGGGGGAGCAAACAGGAUUAGAUACCCGUGUAGUC